CCAGAUUCCUUGACAUUCAAGAAAAAUGGUGAAAAGAAGAAAUUUCAAGUUAUUGUGCAAGCAAGAAGUGUGACUCCAAGGGGAAGAUACCAAUUUGGAGAACUGCAAUGGACAAAUGGAAAACACAUUGUAAGGAGUCCCGUUACUGUUCAACGCAAAUGAAAGAUUAUUCCAAAUAGUUGGAUUUAAUGUGGUAUUAUUGGAUUAUACUAGUAUGCUUCUGUUAUUUCAUCGAUUUUGUUGUUGUACUUGUUGCUGU
rnacentral:pre_miRNA from 1 species